GCGUUCCGUCGCCUCUCCUGAGCCGACGUUCGCGGCGUUUGUGUGAUGGACGCCUCGAAGCUGGUACAACAAAAGCCGUCGUUGCUCGAGCUGCGCGGGCUGCGUGUCUUGCCUCUGGCCACGGCACCCAAGGACGGGGGAAGUGGGCGACUGUGCACACUCUGACAUGGGUUUGCUAGUCAGCCCGUGCGUGCAGAACCUUGGCGCAGCCGCCUUCUCGUUGUGUCCAUCCUCGAAGCCUGCACCCUCCUAACCUACAUGCACAGCCAGAGUCGUGUUUGCCCUCUUCUUCUAAGUGUAGAGACUGACGGGCUUCCACGUAUCGUGUGAAUUCGUUGGGAGGAUGUAUUCGACCUAAGUGUGUCUUCAGUUGGGUUGCACCUCCUGGCUGAUUAUAAUAAGGUCUGCACUCAACUUGUUUUUGAGUCUCGGGGAGCUGACUAGAUUCACCGGUACCUUAUUCUGUGUCUUGAGAGAAACUCUCGUUCGAGACAUAGAAUCCAUCGUUCUUGACGAGUUAAUAUAAAAAAAAACCUAACCACCCGGUUCCCAUUCCUUGUGGGAUUCUAUUUUAACUUUUGAGACAGGGUCUCCCCUGAUUGCCCAGGUUGGCCUCUAACUAUAGCAACAGCCUGCCUCUGUAUCCAAAGUGCUACGAGAAAAGACGUGCGCCACUACUUCCGAUGUACCUCUCCUUAUGUUUAAGCUUCUCUUUGGGUACAGCUUUUGCACAAAAGGCAUGCAGUGACGAGGAGAGUGGCCCCUGGGUGAAUAUUCAACUAAGGAUGUCUUAAUGACCCUGGGAAGGAGGUGGGUUCUUUUAAAAGGUCAAAAAAAUGUGUUCUGGAGGAAGCUCUUUUGUGGACUGUUGUCGCCAAGCGUAUAUUUGGAUUGAAAGAAUCUAAUGGGAGGCCCAGCAGUGGGGACAGUCAUAGAAUAGAGGGUGUGUGGAGAAAGACACGGGUUUGUGGCAUCUCCAGAGGAGAGAAGCCUCAAGAGGUGAAGUGAGAUUGAGUGCAUCCCAGACCAGCAUCCUUAGGAAUAACUACUACAGUGUGUUCUCUCUCAACAUUAACCCCACUGGUAGCCCUAGCCUUAAUAUAACCUUGAAUGCAUCCCGCUGAUCCUUCCUGGGUGCUGAAUUACACCACACCCAGCAAAUAGUGCACAUAUACCUAACAAUAGCUACCCUAAGAAGAGACCGGAAACAGAUGGGUGUGGGGUCACAUGCUUUGAAUCAAAGUACUGGGAGGCUGAGGCAGGCCUAGCUCUGAGUUCCAGCCUGAAUGGUCUACAAAGGUGUAACUUUUCACGUAGCUUCUAACUGAUGGCCUUCUUUCCACACAUAUCUCCAAUGUAUCCUGGAGCGCCUGUGUGAGCAGGUCUCAAGUCCACAGAUAGCCCUAAUGUAUCCUGGAGCACCUGUGUGAGCAGGUCUCAGGGACAGGACUCCAUUGUAGGCUGUAUCAGUCACUUACAACUACAGUGAAGUUUUUGUUUUGUUUUUUAAGAUUUUUUUUAUAUCAUGUAUGUGAGUACAUGGUCACUGUCUUCAGACACACCAGAAGAGGACAUCAGAUCCCAUCACAGAUGGUUGUGAGCCACCAUGUGGUUGC
rnacentral:lncRNA from 1 species